rnacentral:snoRNA from 2 species
ACACCUCCGCUUCGCUCGUGGCAUUCUUCCAGUGAGCGCACUUACGAUGGAUGGUGGAGGAAGAAUA